rnacentral:rRNA from 1 species
GUUUGAUCGAUGGCUCAGAUUGAACGCUGGCGAAUGCUUUACACAUGCAAGUCGAACGGCAGCACGGACUUCGGUCUGGUGGCGAGUGGCGAACGGGUGAGUAACAUAUCGGAACGUAUCCAAGUAAUGGGGGAUAACUAAUCGAAAGGUUGGCUAAUACCGCAUACGCCCUACGGGGGAAAGCUAGGGACCUUCGGGCCUGGCGUUAAUGGAGCGGCCGAUAUCUGAUUAGCUAGUUGGUGAGGUAAAGGCUCACCAAGGCGACGAUCAGUAGCUGGUCUGAGAGGACGACCAGCCACACUGGAACUGAGACACGGUCCAGACUCCUACGGGAGGCAGCAGUGGGGAAUUUUGGACAAUGGGCGCAAGCCUGAUCCAGCCAUUCCGCGUGAGUGAAGAAGGCCUUCAGGUUGUAAAGCUCUUUCGCAAGGGAAGAAAACUUAUCCUCUAACAUAGGAUGAGGUUGACGGUACCUUGAUAAGAAGCACCGGCUAACUACGUG